rfam:Ipomoea nil DNA, scaffold: scaffold2036, cultivar: Tokyo-kokei standard.
UGCCAAUGAUGAUUAUAGUGGAGAUGUGUUCAUGAUAAAUCCUGAUUACAACAACACUACUGCCUUCCUUCUGAGGCA